GGCUGCCUGUGCCUAUGAUGCACGUAAAGAACCACCGCGUGCCGGUUGGCUCCACCCAGCUCUUCCACAGAUGUCGUUCUCCAUCGUUGCUACAUCCUGAGGAGGCUGGAACUCAGGGUUUCAAUACAUUUGUCAUCACCAUCAACAUUAUAACCUUACCAACAGUGCCAGGGACAAGCCAGUGACUCACCCAUCUCAGACUGGACAAGCCUGGAGGACCCAUCUCAGCUAGAGCAGCACCAUUCACACCCAUGUUCACGAUCUCUGUCCUCCCGCAUGUGCUCUGCUCUCCCGGCCCUGAGGAGGGGUGUAUGGAAUGGAGCACAGGUCCCCAGACCCCAGACCCGUGUUCGUCCCACACAGUCAGGGCAGCACCCAGCCCACCUGCUGGCCUCCCCGGCCAGGGCCUUCCUGCUGCCUGUGGGGCCUGCACCUGGGUCAGCCUGCCUGUCCUCUCUGGGCAUGGCCAGCCUGGGACCAGCUAGAGAUGGGCACACCAUGAUGGGCAGGUCUGUGCGGCUGCCCCACCAUCAGGACAUGCAGAGGGCGUGUGGGGAGUUCCUGGGGCCCCUGGCCUUUCUGUUGGGUUGGUUUUGGAGAGCUAGGGGGUGAAGGCUGGCACUCACCCACACCACUGUCCCUGGGGGCUGUGUAAAUAUCCCCAUCCCUGCCCCCCAGGCCUCCAUCCUAACACCUUCAUUGUGUAUCUCUGUGCUGAAAAUUGGUUUAGAAAAUGGGUACUGUGGUGCGGUGGGCAUGUAUUUUUUAAAAUAAAGUUUUAGUUUUAGAA